CUCAGAGCGUGGCAGCCAGCGUGCGGGGAAUGUGCUGAAGAGACAUUAGGGCAGUCCUGGGGACACAACCGGCAAAAUGUCAAAGGAAGAAAAAGGAGCAGUCUCGUCGCCCAAAAACAGGUCUUCAAAAGAACGGCAGAGAAAGAAGCCUUCAGGUAAAGACAGACAUUUCUCACGUGCGCUUACGAAGCCUCACAGUUCCCAGGCAUCAACUCAGUGUCCUUCCUGAGGCCAGCAGUCCCAGGUUCUCCAGAGGCAGACAGAUUGAAUCAUGUGCCCCUGUGCCUGCAGUGAAAUGGGGCAUGGUCCCCUGUAACAGGGCUGUGUGGCCAAUAGUGUCCUGUUUGAGGGUCUCCUGGAGUCCAAGUUAACUUCAAACCAGCUUUGUAUCCAAGAAUGACUUUGAACUCCUGACCCUCCCAGCUACACCUUCCUUCCCCAUGCUGGAGUUGCAAGUGUGCACUACCACACCCAGGCCUUUCGUUUUGUGUUUUGAGACAGGAUCUCACCUUGUAAUCCAGACUAGACUUAAACUCACCAGAGUUCUCCCACCUCGGCUUCCCCAGUUUGUUGCCACACCCUAACAAGUUGUGUGGGGGAAAAGCUGUGUGCUUUUAAUUUUAUUAUUAUUCCGUGUGUGUGUGUGUGUGUGUGGCCUCGAGUGCAUGUGCAUGUUCACGCACACAUGUGAGUGUGAGCACACAAAUGUCACAAAACUCGUGUAGGAUUUAGAAGACAGCUUUUCUGUCUUAGAUGCUGAGGUUCGAAGUCAGGUUCCAUGUGGGUCACUGGUACCAAGCGCUGCUUUGGAAGGCUUCAGCAGGGAGGAUCUCCCUGCCCCUUUUAUCGACCUGCCAAGGAUGGGUUAGAGAGGGCUGGGUGCUCUAGGCAGGGUACACUCAUAUGCUCAGCAGCGUGAGCAAUCUGCCUGUGUUCUUAGAGGACUGGCCCAAUUCCCCUAAAAUAUUUUGAAUUCAGCUCCUUUUGUCUUGAAACACCCCCCCACACACACACACAGCAUGCCAUGCACCUGGGAGUGAAAAGUGCAGCCUGGGGAAGGAGAGAGAGAGAGCCCCAGUGUGAGAGCACUCUUAGAUACUU